UGUACCCCGCUUGACUUAAGCAUAUCAAUAAGCGGAGGAAAAGAAACCAACAGGGAUUGCCCUAGUAACGGCGAGUGAAGCGGCAACAGCUCAAAUUUGAAAGCUGGCUUAGGCCCGCAUUGUAAUUUGCAGAGGAUGCUUCUGGCGAGGUGCCUUCCGAGUUCCCUGGAACGGGACGCCAUAGAGGGUGAGAGCCCCGUAUGGAUGGACACCAAACCUGUGUGAAGCUCCUUCAACGAGUCGAGUAGUUUGGGAAUGCUGCUCUAAAUGGGAGGUAAAUCUCUUCUAAAGCUAAAUACCGGCCAGAGACCGAUAGCGCACAAGUAGAGUGAUCGAAAGAUGAAAAGCACCUUGAAAAGGGGGUUAAACAGUACGUGAAAUUGUUGAAAGGGAAGCGCUUGUGACCAGACUUGCGCCGGGCAGCUCAUCAGGGGUUCUCCCCUGUGCACUCUGCCCGGCUCAGGCCAGCAUCGGUUCUCGUGGGAGGAUAAGAACGGUAGGAACGUGGCCCCCCUCCGGGGGGGUGUUAUAGCCUGCCGUACGAUACUCCCGUGGGGACCGAGGUUCGCGCUCCGCAAGGAUGCUGGCGUAAUGGUCAUCAGCGACCCGUCUUGAAACACGGACCAAGGAGUCGUCCAUUAGAGCGAGCGUUUGGGUGUAAAACCCGCACGCGUAAUGAAAGUGAACGCAGGUGAGAGCUUCGGCGCAUCAUCGACCGAUCCUGAUGUCUUCGGAUGGAUUUGAGUAAGAGUUUUAACGGACGGACCCGAAAGACAGUGAACUAUGCUUGUAUAGGGUGAAGCCAGAGGAAACUCUGGUGGAGGCUCGCAGCGGUUCUGACGUGCAAAUCGAUCGUCAAAUAUGAGCAUGGGGGCGAAAGACUAAUCGAACCGUCAAGCCCGGCG
rnacentral:rRNA from 1 species